CUAACAACAUCAAUAUUAUCGGCAAGGACGAGAAGAUCUUCGGGAAGACUAAAGGAAACUGAAGUUGUUCCAGCUACUGGACAUUUACUUUGUCUUCUACGUUUGUGCUGAUUCCCCUACAAAUUAAUUUAUGUUAUGAUCUAAAAAACCCAGUAUGGAAAAUUAUUUGAUAUAUAUACACACACACAAAGAGAGAAAGAGAUCGUAGAAGCACCAUUUGGUUGGAUUCAAAGGGCAAACAUCUCCUUCAUCUGAUGUCCUAAAAGAAAUUGGGAUUGCUGCCUCAACCUCUGCCGCAAUAUUAAUCCCUUCUGCAGCUAGUUGUUCCGCCUGUACGGCUUGGCGUGCUUCCUUCUCUUUCUCUUCUUCUUUCACCUUCUCUCUAAACUCAUUCAUUAUUUUCUUUUUCAAAAUAGAUCAUUUUAAUAAAUUUCUCAAAAGAACCCUCAAAAGCUUCACAUAUCUGUAUAAUCUGGAACUUACCAGGAUAGAUUUUUGCACUCUAUCAGUAAUACUAAACCAUUCCAUU
rnacentral:lncRNA from 1 species